GUUUAUGGCCAUACCACCCUGAAUGUGCCCGAUCUCCUCUAAUCUCAGAAGCUAAGCAGGGUUUGACCUGAUUAGUACUUGAAUAGGAGAUUGCCUGGGAAUACCAGUUUUAAGGA
rnacentral:rRNA from 1 species